CAAUGAAAUUGAUCUCCCCGUGCAGAAGCGGGGAUAAUACCAUAAGACGAGAAGACCCUAUGGAGCUUUAGACGUCAGAGCAGCCCAUGUAAAGCACCCCUUAACAAAGGAAAAAACCAAAUGAAGCCUGCCCUAAUGUCUUUGGUUGGGGCGACCGCGGGGAAAUACAAAACCCCCAUGUGGAGUAGGAACACACAUUCCUAAACCCAAGAGCUCCCGCUCUAAUGAACAGAAAUUCUGACCAAUAAGAUCCGGCACACGCCGAUCAACGGACCGAGUUACCCUAGGGAUAACAGCGCAAUCCCCUUAAAGAGCCCUUAUCGACAAGGGGGUUUACGACCUCGAUGUUGGAUCAGGACAUCCUAAUGGUGCAGCCGCUAUUAAGGGUUCGUUUGUUCG
rnacentral:rRNA from 1 species